UGGGGAAUAUUGGACAAUGGGCGGAAGCCUGAUCCAGCAAUGCCGCGUGUGUGAAGAAGGCCUGCGGGUUGUAAAGCACUUUCAGUGGGGAGGAAGUAAUAGCUUUGAAUAGAGGUUAUUGUUGACGUUACCCAAAGAAGAAGCACCGGCUAACUCUGUGCCAGCAGCCGCGGUAAUACAGAGGGUGCAAGCGUUAAUCGGAAUUACUGGGCGUAAAGGGUGCGUAGGUGGCUAAUUAAGUUGUAUGUGAAAUCCCCGGGCUUAACCUGGGAAUUGCGUAUAAAACUGAUUGACUAGAGUUCGGGAGAGGGAAGUGGAAUUUCCAGUGUAGCGGUGAAAUGCGUAGAUAUGCGGAGGAACACCGAUGGCGAAGGCAAUCCCCUGGGCCUGUACUGACGCUCAUGCACGAAAGCGUGGGGAGCAAACAGG
rnacentral:rRNA from 1 species